rnacentral:lncRNA from 1 species
UCAUGGCUCUGAGGCACAGCAACAGUAGGUGCAGGCAGGGGUUGAUAAAAUCAAUCACCAUGAAAUGUAGAGUAUGAAAUGUUUUCACAAGUAAUUAACCACCUUAGUGACCUUAAGUAUGCUGAUAAUAACCUUAGCCUACUGCCUGACGUUAAGUAUGAUAGGAAAGGACCUUUCUGCAUGACUUGAGAAGUAUGCUAAUCAAAGCAUAUUAAAAUGAUUAUUAUAGCAUUAUCGCUAUUUAAAAUGAGAUGUGCUGACAUGAGUAACACUGCUCUGAGACUUCUAAUAAUUGACAAAUGCUACGCUCAUGCAAAUGACAACUGGCACUAACCCGAAGACAUUUUAACCUGGCCAUCUUUUUUGAGACAUGCUGAUGCUAAACCUGACAGUCCAGUUUAUCUUAAAUUUACAAAACUGAAUACUAGUUUAAGGAUAUGUAAGAUGCCCCGUUAACCUGAUAUAUGCUAAUUUGAGGUAACCAAACUGACCUCAUUUAUGUUAAUCACAAUGCUAACCUGAGGUAGCGCUGAUCUUAGUUUUACUAACCUGAGGUAAACAGCACACCCUAGUUAUGCUAACCUGAAUGCUAACCCGGCAGCCCAGCCAGCUGACCUAAGAUAUGCUAACCAGUUGACCUUAUUUAUUCUAACCUGAAUACUAACCAGAGGUAGCCUAGCUGACCUUAGUUAUGCUAACCUGAGGUAGCCCAACUAACCUGAGGUUGUUGAGUUGACUCUAGAUAUCCUAACCUGAAUGAUAACCUGAGGAAGCCUUGCUGACCUUAUCUAUGCUAACCUGAGGUAGCCCAGCUGUCGGCACACCAGAGUGCCCAGCGAGGAGUUCCAGCGCUCGUAGCAGACGGGCAGCCAGGUGGGCAGCCUCUCCAGCUGGAUCUCCAGCAUUGGCAGAGUAGCCUUGAAUCAAAAGAAGCCGCACCAAAAAGAACACAUGAAUCGCUGCAAUGUCGUGACACUGAGGUUAGUAUAUUUGUAAAAGGCUUUAGUAACUGCUUUUUAUAUUGUCUUUUUCAGUUUUCAGAGACUAAUUUUAUAGUGGGUUACUCGUACAGUAGCUUGCUUUGCAA